rfam:Stegodyphus mimosarum contig57826, whole genome shotgun sequence.
GCCUUCGUGGUGUAAUGGUUAGCACAGUCGGCGUGUAUUCGAGAGGUCCAGGUUCGAGUCUCGGCGAGGGCG